GUGUGUGUUUGGUGAAGACGCAGUUGUUACCGUCCAUCUGCGAAGAAGAGGUACAGCACCAUUGUGUUUGAUAGCAGUUUUGUACACUAUAGUCUCCUGGGCAGCAUAUCCGUGUCCCAGAACCAGAGAAAGUAGACCAGUUGAGUAUCAUCCACUAGUACAUGUACUGGAGAAAUCACUGUCGGUUCGUGUGUCCGUCGGUGACUAACGAAGUCUGGACGACCACGUAACAUCGUUGUUUUCUCUCGAGUCAGAGUCAUGUGUUGAUGAUAAGCCACUAGUGCGACUUGUGCUGGAAAUACGAAGCUGCACUGUAUCUGCAGUUAUCCAGUGUAUCCGCAGUGUUCACGGCAAGAACAAUGCCGUUUGACUUCUGGAAUGAUGUUGUCCUGCCAGCAUGGCAUGACAUAGCUCGAUGCAAGAUUACACAUGAAGCAUUGGAGAAGGUAGUCAUGGCAACUGAUGAACAUCAUCCACGUAUCAGUAGAGAUCCCAAGCUGAGGAGACAUGUGAUGAAUUGGAAGGGGUUUAUUAAAACCACUGAAAGUAGGUCAGAAAAGGAUAGGUUAGCCUGCUAUGUUGCCUGUGUUACUUGCUACAAGAGAGGGCAAUCAGGUGUCCAGAACUUCAUUCAAGACAUUCAGUCUUCAACUUUCCCGUCCAAUGUUGCUGUUGGUGGACUGCUGGAGAGAAUUUGGCAAGCUCGUAAGAAUGACCAUCCUGAUGAAGAUGUGACGGAUCCAUAUUUCUUCACAAGGGUUGUCAAGAGCAACCUCCCACAGAUCAUCGCCAACCUAGCGACCGUACCAGAUAUAGUGCUCACCGAAGUAUUU